rnacentral:tRNA from 1 species
AAUGAGGUGCCUGAUCUUAAAAGGGUUAUUUUGAUAGAAUAAAUUAUGCAAGUAUUUGCCCUCAUUA